GCAGUCUAGUAUAAGCAUUAUACAGCGAAACUGCGAAUGGCUCAUUAUAUAAGUUAUCGUUUAUUUGAUAGUACCUUACUACUUGGAUAACCGUGGUAAUUCUAGAGCUAAUACAUGCUAAAAAUCCCGACUCCGGAAGGGAUGUAUUUAUUAGAUUAAAAACCAAUGCCCUCUGGGCUCCUUGGUGAUUCAUAAUAACUUUUCGAAUCGCAUGGCCUUGCGCCGGCGAUGGUUCAUUCAAAUUUCUUCCCUAUCAACUUUCGAUGUUUGGGUAUUGGCCAAACAUGGUCGCAACGGGUAACGGAGGGUUAGGGCUCGACCCCGGAGAAGGAGCCUGAGAAACGGCUACUACAUCCAAGGAAGGCAGCAGGCGCGCAAAUUACCCAAUCCCGAUUCGGGGAGGUAGUGACAAUAAAUACUGAUACAGGGCUCUUUUGGGUCUUGUAAUUGGAAUGAGUACAAUUUAAAUCCCUUAACGAGGAACAAUUGGAGGGCAAGUCUGGUGCCAGCAGCCGCGGUAAUUCCAGCUCCAAUAGCGUAUAUUAAAGUUGUUGUGGUUAAAAAGCUCGUAGUUGAACCUUGGGCCUGGCUGGCCGGUCCGCCUCACCGCGUGCACUGGUCCGGCCGGGCCUUUCCCUCUGUGGAACCCCAUGCCCUUCACUGGGUGUGGCGGGGAAACAGGACUUUUACUUUGAAAAAAUUAGAGUGCUCCAGGCAGGCCUAUGCUCGAAUACAUUAGCAUGGAAUAAUGAAAUAGGACGUGUGGUUCUAUUUUGUUGGUUUCUAGGACCGCCGUAAUGAUUAAUAGGGACAGUCGGGGGCAUCAGUAUUCAAUUGUCAGAGGUGAAAUUCUUGGAUUUAUUGAAGACUAACUACUGCGAAAGCAUUUGCCAAGGAUGUUUUCAUUAAUCAGGAACGAAAGUUAGGGGAUCGAAGACGAUCAGAUACCGUCGUAGUCUUAACCAUAAACUAUGCCGACUAGGGAUCGGACGAUGUUAUUUUUUGACGCGUUCGGCACCUUACGAGAAAUCAA
rnacentral:rRNA from 1 species